CGCACAAAUUCUUGUGGAUUUAAUUUCUUCUUUCACAUUAUAUUUAAUGUUAGAUGUUUCAGAAGGCAAUUGAUAUAUUGGAAACUAGGAAAGAAGCCUUACAGUAUUUGCGUAACAUCCAACACUACACAAUGUCAUAUCGUGUACUCGCCCCAGACACAGGGAUUAACCUUCAAAGGUUUAUCAAAUGGAAUUUCGGGAGAACCUGGCUGUUUUAGAACGUUUAAAAGUAAUGGCAAGUCUUCGGCAUAUCGUGUUAAUGGUCCUAGUGUAAAAUACUCUUCAAACUGCGGAUCCAAACUGUCAGGUAUAUGUCCUAGAAGCAAAAAUGUAUGCAAAAGUGGUAGCCGCAAAGAGCCCGCUAUGUCUGAACCAACGCCCAUUAUGGAUGCCGCGGCCGAAAUUAGCGCAGCCUGGAAACAGCAAAGGUA